rnacentral:lncRNA from 1 species
GAGCCUCCUGCCUAUGGCGACCAGGCUCUCAAGACCGAGUACAGUAGCUAUGCCCGGCCCGGAGGUCACGGAGGCGCUCACGUCGAAGGUGAAUACGGUGGAAGGAAACCGGAGCAUGGCGGAUCUGGAUCUGAUUUUGGCCGGAAACCUGAAUCUGGGUAUGGCGGAAGAACGGAGGUCGAGUACGGACGGAGACCUGAAUCUGGGUAUGGCGGAAGAACGGAGGUUGAGUAUGGCCGGAAACCUGAAUCGGAGCACGGAUCUGGGUAUGGUGGGAGAAUGAAGUCUAAGGAAGAGGAAGAUGGAGACUACAGGAAGCCCAGCUAUGGCCAUCGCAAGGAUAAUGAU